UACGUAGGGGGCAAGCGUUGUCCGGAAUUAUUGGGCGUAAAGAGCGCGCAGGCGGUCGUUCAAGUCGAGUGUGAAAGCCCCCGGCUCAACUGGGGAGGGUCAUUCGAUACUGAUCGACUCGAAGGCAGGAGAGGGAAGUGGAAUUCCCGGUGUAGUGGUGAAAUGCGUAGAUAUCGGGAGGAACACCAGUGGCGAAGGCGACUUCCUGGCCUGUUCUUGACGCUGAGGCGCGAAAGCUAGGGGAGCAAACGGG
rnacentral:rRNA from 1 species